ACCAUAUUAGUGCCUGACUAUCACCAUAGAACAUAUUGAUGAUUGAAGAUCUUGACUCAGACGAGAUGAAGUUACUGCAUUGCAGAGGCCAAGCUCUUUACCAAGAGCCUGUUGGUUAGAUGAACUCUUUGUUAUCCUCUCUCCUCAGCUAAUUAGUGGACAAUUCACGAUCAAUUAUGAAGAUAUAGAAGCGACAUUCACGCAUCGGUCAGCGACGUGCAAUACCAACAGCUUUUAUCUGAUGAUUGUAGAUCAAGAGUCAGACGAGAUGAAGUUAUUAAAUUGCAGAGGCCAAGCUCUUUACCAAGAGCCUGUUGGUUAGAUGUACUCUUUGUAAUCCUCUCUCCUCAGUUAAUUAGUGGACAAUUCACGAUCAAUUAUGAAGAUAUACAAGGGAAAGGCACGAGUCGAUCGGCGGCGUGCAAUACAAACAGCUUUUAUCUGGUGCUGACUUCAAUUGAAGAUUUGCCCGCAUCAAGAUACUGCAAUGUAAGGAACCCUGCACUGCACCGUGUCAUAUUAACUACCUGUAUUAUUGAUGAGGGACAUAAAUAUAUAUUGAUAAUGACUCAAGAUCUCCUCGCGAUUGUCUUCGGAAUGAGUUUUAGAAUACUUCGGUCACAUCGCAAGGAAGGACGAUGGAAGACUUGAGAGACUGAUUGUGGUCGGCAAAAUAGAUGAGAAGAGGCCCCGUGGACGCAGUCCAACACGAUGGUCCAAACAGAUCCGCUCCGCCCUCGACUCUACGGUUCACAAUGCCUUUCACACCGCCAGAGACAGGAAUAGAUGGAGAGCGAUCAUACGAGAGAAAGUGAUACAGAAAGGUGGUCACGACACUCAGUACUGAGGAUUACGACGCAGGGAGGAUUAUUGAUGAACAAAUUGGUCGCAUUUCCUAAAUAUUAUGUUACUUAAGUGUUGGAUUCUCCCGUCCUCCUACACUACAUUUAUUUUGCCAUUACAUUCGAUGAGGGCAGAGUAGGAGUGGUCCUCAUGGAGAUAACCUUUGUUCAGGAGUGGACGACUUCCGGCCGAUGAUGAUGACGUUAGUUAAAAUUUGAAUAUAUAUAUUGUAUAAUGUACUAAAUGAAACACACUUACAGAGUGACAUGGUAUAUUUUUAUAUAAAUGUUAUUGUUUUUAUACAUAUUACUUACUAUAAAUCGCAUAAUAAUCGCAAAGAAACAACAAAUAAUUCUUUUCACACAUAUUAAUAUGCGAAUACUAAUUUCACUAGCUAUAACUUACUACUACUAGUAGUAAACGAUACAAUGUUACUAUGCUAAUGGAUUGUAUUUAAAUAAAAUCGAUUUACUACAGAAUAAAUGUUAGUAGUAUGAGGGUAGAUUGUAUUCUACUAGUAAUAAUUGUAGUAGUUGUACUCUAUAACAACCGAUCUGUACAAAUAUAUCGUUCUCUUAUAAAAAAAAGGAUUGUGUGGUUUUAUGAAACCACGGUAAAAGUGAAACUUUUUUUCACAUUAUAGACAUUUAACUAAAAUUUUUUGGAAUAAUAUUCCUGGGUAUAAAAAUCGCUUUAUCAAUCUUAAUUUAAUACUUGGAAAAAUGGAAUGAUAAUGGGAAAUAAUGAAAAUAGACUAAGUCUCAAACUAAUAUUUUUAUUGAACUCUGUGACUUAACCUGGUUAUUGAUUGAAAAGGAUUAAAAAUGAUGAAAUUUUAAUACUUUUGAAUACUUUCAAUUCUUUUUGAUGUAUAUAUAAAUAUACAGUUUACAUGGGGUGACUGAUUCCCAAUACUUUUUAAUCUUUAAUCAGGGAGAGUACGACAUACAUAAUACUUAACCAUUAUUUAGAUUAUAUACACAUACUAAAAAACAAACAAAAUAGCGCGGGACACUGGCACGAAUGAGUAAUACACCACACGGUGAGCUGGUGCGAACUAUAGGCGUCGCCCGACCGUCACGCGACAUGCAACACACAGACGAAAAUGUUUGAGACGAUCAAAUAAAAGUUUCUUUCCUAAAAGACCUGUAUCGCUCCUAUGAUGAGCGGCCACUGGGUGAGGUGACAAGUACGCUCAUUUUUCUUUGUCUUUAAAUCAUACGCAAAUAUUUAAACAAACAUCCUCCAUUAAUUAUUGGGACAAAUUUAAUGUGACGUUGCAAGGAGUAAGUGAAAUAAAAAAUCAGUUCGUUAUUUUCCAAAAUAUUAUCUGGUAGUUUUCAUAAAAAGUCAUACCCCUCGCAGCGAAAGUUCUGGCGUAGGACGUGACGAACCCACCGCCCACAGCUGUUAUAUCUUGGUCAAGAAGGUAUAACAGCUGCGCAGUCAGUCCGUACCCUCUCAUUCUUUGUGGCACUCUCUUAACAAACAAUUUUCACAAAAUUCAAAAACUAAUGUUGUCUUAAAGAACGAUAUAACAACAAUCUGCCAUAAAUUUAAUGAGUGUAACUGUCAAUCUCCUACUUAACAGAUUUUUCCCCCGUAUUUUGAAUUUUAUGAAAAUUGUUAUCAGGGUACUAAAAUGUAUGAUAUGCCACGACAUUAUUUAUAAAUUAUUUUUACAGUUAUGUGUUAUCCAAUGUUAAUAAAUUGUACUUACUACACUAUGUACGAUAUAUACCCUCUAAAAUAUGUUUACAAACAAUAUUAAGUAGUGUUAUGUUAUACGAUAACUUUCAUGAAAUAUUCCUUACAUGGAUACUUUCUUUUGUAUUUGAGUCUUGGGUAAUUUUUAACGAUACGUGUCAAUUAGCUUUUUGUAAAAUUUGAUUUUAAUUAAAGACACGGCAAUACUUCAAGCCGGCCCACAUUCUAGCGCUGAACAAAGCGCAGGUCCGGCCACACAUGGAGUAUUGCUGUCAUCUCUGGUCUGGCGCACCCCAGUGUCAGCUCGAUCCAAUUGACCGCGUGCAACGCAGGGCAGCUCGAAUUGUCGGGGACCCAGUGCUCUGUGAACGGCUGGAUCACUUGGCGUUGCGCAGAGCCGUCGCUUCAUUGUGUGUCUUCUACCGCAUUUAUCACGUGGAAUGUUCCGAAGAGCUAUUUAACCUGAUUAACCUGAAUGAUGCAGUAGAUUGUGGGCGGCGGUGAUCACUUAACGUACGCUCGUUUUUCCUGCUAUUCCAUAAUAAAAAAGACAAACCAACUGAUUCUUCUAUUCAGCGACAACAUUAAAACAAACGACUUCAUAUUCGUAAAAAAUAUAUAUUUUUUUGCAAUAGUAUAUACUUUCAAAAGGGAUUUCAACAGAUAUAGAUAUUAAAAUGACCGCUUGUGUUAUUUCACAGAGAACACAACGCAUAUAGUUCUGUCUUUUAAAUAAUUGACACGUAUUUAAUACCAUUACUUUCGAUUACUUUUUUUUGUAAGAAGUUCUCAUAAGUUUAAUGAAGUUUUGCUUAUCAUUUAUUACCAUCUUGCUAUAGAGCCGUGUAUCACACUAGUGCGAUACACUGUUCUUAGUAUUUCCAAAAUAUGUAAGGUGGAGGAAUUUUGGGCUGACCAUUUGAUGCGUGUGGAGCGCGCAUCAAGUAGAGCCAGGUAGGAGGUCUGUAAUUAUCGAUACGAAUCAAGCAUUAUUAUAGAUUUUAUAUUUAUGUGUGAUGAUCUUAACCCAGACUUUAAUCAUUAUUUUAAAUAUUUGUAAGUACUUAUUGUUAACCCAACAACAAUCUUAAGAUAUAAUAUUAUGUGACUGUAUGUAAAAUACCUGCACGAAGUUGUUAUAAGUCAGUUAAAGGUAUAUAUAUUAUUUAAAUGGACGUAAUUUUUAUCGUAUUAAAUUACACGGGGAAACUUAUAUUGAAAUAAGUUUCAAAGUGGUUAUAUUAAAAAGACAAUUUCAGUUUUAUGUUUGGCAAUUUUUGAUACGAUGGCAGACACUGUGGCACCUUUAUGUGAAAUAGUCAAUAGAUGAUAUAAAAUUAAAAUGUUCUUAUUGAUACACAUACAAAAAAUAUAUUCUUCAGUAUAUAAAAUAAAAUCUAAAAGUACGGCAUAUAGAGUAUUAUCGGACUGAAUAAAAUUAUCUUGUAGACGGUUGUUAAGUAAAUUAAACAUAUAUAGUUAAUAUUCGCAAGAAGUUAAAAUAAAUGUUUUGAAAAAUGCAAAAAUAGAAGAAUAAUUUUCAAAAGACAAAAAUUGAAGAAGGAUUUCUAUAGUAAUAAGGCAGAAUAGAUGAAACAUAAUAUUAUUAAUAUCCAAUUUAAAACUAAGAAUUAAACAAAAGUAACAAUUAGAAAGAAUGCUGAAAAAAAAGAAUUUCACUUGCACACAGAGAUACAAAUGCUAGAUACAGCAAUAAACAAGAUCUAGUUUCAAUCAAGGCAAGGGACGCUCAAUGUAAUAAUAUGGCUGGAUCUCAACGAACAGUCGGGUAAAAGCAAUGUGAGCAAAAAUAUAAACUUUUCAUCUAGAUAUGUUAUUUUUUUAAUAUGCGUAUUGUUUGAAAGAAUGUCGCAUUGACCUGUAAAUGCCUCUUCACGAUGAUUUUUAUGGCAUACAAUUUUUGCGUGAAAUUGGAUAGGAGUUUGUCUCUUUUAGUAACGUGAAAGAUUCAAAUCCUGACUGUACGGUGAGCUCCAUCCAUAUUAUUGAAUCUUGAGCUCCCUUUCCAUGUUUGGAACUAGAUCUUGUUGAUUGCUAUAUCUAGCCUACGUUUAUCUAGGUACUUGUUGAAUUCUUCUGUUUUUGUUUUUGUGUUUUUUAUUUUUGUUAUUCUUUAUUUGAACUGGAUAGAAAGCCUAUUCUGCUUCAUCUAUUCUAUCAAUAUACACGAGAAACCAAUUUUUUAAUUAUUUUUCUGUACCAUUUGUUCUACGUCAUUUACAAUUUUCAAAUAUUUUCAUAUACUCCUUUUCCAAAAAUACUUUUUCUUUAAUUUUCUUAUAAUACUACUACUACUUUGUAUAUUUUAUUUGAUUUUUAACAAUAUUUAAUAAUUUAUGAUUUAUUUUAAUUUUGGAUAAUAUAUUAAAGGUACGUGUUUCUAUUUAUAAUAAAAUCGUUCAUUUGUGUCUAAUAUCGUAUUUUUUCCCAUAAGUUUUACAAACUUUGCCAUCUACUAAACAAUUACCAUUCAUCACGAAUACUUCAAAGUUUUGAAAUUUUAGCACUUGUAAUAUUUUUAGUUUAUAUUUUUCUAUAUAUCUGAAUUCGAAUCAAGCUACGCCCUUUUAUAUAAUAAGAUAAUCAUAUCUUAUAUAUAAAAACUAUGUAUUCAGUUAUUAUGUACAGUGACAGAAGGUAUCUUAAGUUUAUUGUUGGAUUAAUAAUAUGUACAAAUGAAUGAAAUACUAUGAUGUCGUGAGGCUUAAAAUAAUGAUGCACCAAGGUAUAAAACUAUAAAAUUGUUUGGAUCAUGUCAAAUAUUUGAGAGCUCCAACCCCGCACCACAAAGUGGGCCCCAGGCAGCGAAUGGGCUACCUUUUAAAUCUCUCCACCUCCCUGCCUACGGGCUCCCAGCUAUGCAGUGCACUGAGGUUGAAAUUCAUAGUAUUGACUAUGCUUGCUUGUCAGUUUGCGAGUCCGCUGCUGCUUGCUUGUGGUACUUUGCUAUGUAGCUCACCCUUGGAGUAAUGCGUGAGCGUGACCUUGUCGGGGUGGGAGGGCUUAUGCUCAGGUCUUCCAGCUGACUCCAGCGGAUACUAUGGGCAACUAACGAGGAGCUCAACCCAAGCUAAAGUAUAAAAUAUCGUGCUGAUGGCUGAAUGGCACUGGGGUUGGAAUACGGUGUCAUGAACGAUCUCCUUGAGGCGCCUGCGGGCACCCCAUGGUAAUUAAACUCCAGGCAUGCGAGAUUGCCGGGUGUUAAUGAUAAUGUAAUCAGUAUUAAAUAUGACAACACGUUAUGGAAUCUAUUACGUAGCGCCUGUUGUAAUCAUAAUACUGGUAAUAAUUAUAAUAUAGAUAUAAUAUUAGCACUUGAAUGGAUCAACGUAUUAAAACUGACUUGUAAGUCUACACUAAUCAUCGAUUACUACCUUUAUUCUGUAAGUUUACUUUAUUUUAUCAAGUAUAAAUAUGAAGAUGUUUUUUCUUUACCUUUUAUAAUAAUAUGAUUAAUUGUAUAAUUAUAAGUGGAGACACCAUCACCGUUUACUCGCAGCGGAAGUACUGGCGUAGGACGUGACGAACCCACCGCCCACAGCUGUUAUAUCUUGGUCAAGAAGGUAUAACAGCUGCGCAGUCAGUCAGUACCCUCUCGUUCUUUGUGGCACUCUCUUAACAAACAAUUUUCACAAAAAUCAAAAACUAAUGUAGUCUUGAACAAGGAUAAGAAACAAUCUGCCUUAAAAUUAAUGAGUGUAACUGUCACUCUCCUACUUAACAGAUUUUUUCCACGUAUUUUGAAUUUUAUGGAAAUUGUUAUCAGGGUACUAAAAUGUAUGAUAUGCCACGACAUUAUUUAUAAAUUAUUUUUACAGUUAUGUGUUAUCCAAUGUUAAUAAAUUGUACUGUACUACACUAUGUACGAUAUAUACCCUCUAAAAUAUGUUUACAAACAAUAUUAAGUAGUGUUAUGUUAUACGAUAACUCUCAUGAAAUAUGCCUCACAUGGAUACUUUUCUUUUGUAUUUGAGUCUUGGGUAAUUUUUAACGAUACGUGUCAAUUAGCUUUUUGUAAAAUUUGAUUUUAAUUAAAGACACGGCAAUACUUCAAGCCGGCCCACAUUCUAGCGCUGAACGAAGCGCAGGUCCGGCCACACAUGGAGUAUUGCUGUCAUCUCUGGUCUGGCGCACCCCAGUAUCAGCUCGAUCCAAUUGACCGCGUGCAACGCAGGGCAGCUCGAAUUGUCGGGGACCCAGUGCUCUGUGAACGGCUGGAUCACUAGGCGUUGCGCAGAGCCGUCGUUUCAUUGUGUGUCUUCUACCGCAUUUAUCACGUGGAAUGUUCCGAAGAGCUAUUUAACCUGAUUAACCUGAAUGAUGCAGUAGAUUGUGGGCGGCGGUGAUCACUUAACAACAGGUGACCCGUACGCUCGUUUUUCCUGCUAUUCCAUGAUAAAAAAAGACAAACCAGUUGAUUCUUCUAUUCGGCGACAACAUUAAAACAAACGACUUCAUAUUCGUAAAAAAUAUAUAUUUUUUUGCAAUAGUAUAUACUUUUAAAAGGGGUUUCAACAGAUAUAGAUAUUAAAACGGCCGCUUGUGUUAUUUCACAGAGAACACAACGCAUAUAGUUCUGUCUUUUAAAUAAUUGACACGUAUUUAAUACCAUUACUUUCGAUUAUUUAUUUUGUAAGAAGUUCUCAUAAGUUUAAUGAAGUUUUGCUUAUCAUUUAUUACCAUCUCGCUAUAGAGCCGUGUAUCACACUAGUGCGAUACACUGUUCUUAGUAUUUCCAAAAUAUGUAAGGUGGAGGAAUUUUGGGCUGACCAUUUGAUGCGUGUGGAGCGCGCAUCAAGUAGAGCCAGGUAGGAGCUCUGUAAGUAUCGAUACAUUAUUAUAGAUUUUAUAUUUAUGUGUGAUGAUCUUAACCCAGACUUUAAUCAUUAUUUUAAAUAUUUGUAAGUACUUAUUGUUAACCCAACAACAAUCUUAAGAUAUAAUAUUAUGUGACUGUAUGUAAAAUACCUGCACGAAGUUGUUAUAAGUCAGUUAAAGGUAUAUAUAUUAUUUAAAUGGACGUAAUUUUUAUCGUAUUAAAUUACACGGGGAAACUUAUAUUGAAAUAAGUUUCAAAGUGGUUAUAUUAAAAAGACAAUAUCAGUUUUAUGUUUGGCAAUUUUUGAUACGAUGGCAGACACUGUGGCACCUUUAUGUGAAAUAGUCAAUAGAUGAUAUAAAAUUAAAAUGUUCUUAUUGAUACACAUACAAAAAAUAUAUUCUUCAGUAUAUAAAAUAAAAUCUAAAAGUACGGCAUAUAGAGUAUUAUCGGACUGAAUAAAAUUAUCUUGUAGACGGUUGUUAAGUAAAUUAAACAUAUAUAGUUAAUAUUCGCAAGAAGUUAAAAUAAAUGUUUUGAAAAAUGCAAAAAUAGAAGAAUAAUUUUCAAAAGACAAAAAUUGAAGAAGGAUUUCUAUAGUAAUAAGGCAGAAUAGAUGAAACAUAAUAUUAUUAAUAUCCAAUUUAAAACUAAGAAUUAAACAAAAGUAACAAUUAGAAAGAAUGCUGAAAAAAUAGAAUUUCACUUGCACACAGAGAUACAAAUGCUAGAUACAGCAAUAAACAAGAUCUAGUUUCAAUCAAGGCAAGGGACGCUCAAUGUAAUAAUAUGGCUGGAUCUCAACGAACAGUCGGGUAAAAGCAAUGUGAGCAAAAAUAUAAACUUUUCAUCUAGAUAUGUUAUUUUUUUAAUAUGCGUAUUGUUUGAAAGAAUGUCGCAUUGACCUGUAAAUGCCUCUUCACGAUGAUUUUUAUGGCAUACAAUUUUUGCGUGAAAUUGGAUAGGAGUUUGUCUCUUUUAGUAACGUGAAAGAUUAAAAUCCUGACUGUACGGUGAGCUCCAUCCAUAUUAUUGAAUCUUGAGCUCCCUUUCCAUGUUUGGAACUAGAUCUUGUUGAUUGCUAUAUCUAGCCUACGUUUAUCUAGGUACUUGUUGAAUUCUUCUGUUUUUGUUUUUGUGUUUUUUAUUUUUGUUAUUCUUUAUUUGAACUGGAUAGAAAGCCUAUUCUGCUUCAUCUAUUCUAUCAAUAUACACGAGAAACCAAUUUUUUAAUUAUUUUUCUGUACCAUUUGUUCUACGUCAUUUACAAUUUUCAAAUAUUUUCAUAUACUCCUUUUCCAAAAAUACUUUUUCUUUAAUUUUCUUAUAAUACUACUACUACUUUGUAUAUUUUAUUUGAUUUUUAACAAUAUUUAAUAAUUUAUGAUUUAUUUUAAUAUUGGAUAAUAUAUUAAAGGUACGUGUUUCUAUUUAUAAUAAAAUCGUUCAUUCGUGUCUAAUAUCGUAUUUUGUCCCAUAAGUUUUACAAACUUUGCCAUCUACUAAACAAUUACCAAUCAUCACGAAUACUUCAAAGUUUUGAAAUUUUAGCACUUGUAAUAUUUUUAGUUUAUAUUUUUCUAUAUAUCUGAAUUCGAAUCAAGCUACGCCCUUUUAUAUAAAAAGAUAAUCAUAUCUUAUAUAUAAAAACUAUGUAUUCAGUUAUUAUGUACAGUGACAGAAGGUAUCUUAAGUUUAUUGUUGGAUUAAUAAUAUGUACAAAUGAAUGAAAUACUAUGAUGUCGUGAGGCUUAAAAUAAUGAUGCACCAAGGUAUAAAACUAUAAAAUUGUUUGGAUCAUGUCAAAUAUUUGAGAGCUCCAACCCCGCACCACAAAGUGGGCCCCAGGCAGCGAAUGGGCUACCUUUUAAAUCUCUCCACCUCCCUGCCUACGGGCUCCCAGCUAUGCAGUGCACUGAGGUUGAAAUUCAUAGUAUUGUCUAUGCUUGCUUGUCAGUUUGCGAGUCCGCUGCUGCUUGCUUGUGGUACUUUGCUAUGUAGCUCACCCUUGGAGUAAUGCGUGAGCGUGACCUUGUCGGGGUGGGAGGGCUUAUGCUCAGGUCUUCCAGCUGACUCCAGCGGAUACUAUGGGCAACUAACGAGGAGCUCAACCCAAGCUAAAGUAUAAAAUAUCGUGCUGAUGGCUGAAUGGCACUGGGGUUGGAAUACGGUGUCAUGAACGAUCUCCUUGAGGCGCCUGCGGGCACCCCAUGGUAAUUAAACUCCAGGCAUGCGAGAUUGCCGGGUGUUAAUGAUAAUGUAAUAAGUAUUAAAUAUGACAACACGUUAUGGAAUCUAUUACGUAGCGCCUGUUGUAAUCAUAAUACUGGUAAUAAUUAUAAUAUAGAUAUAAUAUUAGCACUUGAAUGGAUCAACGUAUUAAAACUGACUUGUAAGUCUACACUAAUCAUCGAUUACUACCUUUAUUCUGUAAGUUUACUUUAUUUUAUCAAGUAUAAAUAUGAAGAUGUUUUUUCUUUACCUUUUAUAAUAAUAUGAUUAAUUGUAUAAUUAUAAGUGGAGACACCAUCACCGUUUACUCGCAGCGGAAGUACUGGCGUAGGACGUGACGAACCCACCGCCCACAGCUGUUAUAUCUUGGUCAAGAAGGUAUAACAGCUGCGCAGUCAGUCAGUACCCUCUCGUUCUUUGUGGCACUCUCUUAACAAACAAUUUUCACAAAAAUCAAAAACUAAUGUAGUCUUGAACAAGGAUAAGAAACAAUCUGCCUUAAAAUUAAUGAGUGUAACUGUCACUCUCCUACUUAACAGAUUUUUUCCACGUAUUUUGAAUUUUAUGGAAAUUGUUAUCAGGGUACUAAAAUGUAUGAUAUGCCACGACAUUAUUUAUAAAAUAUUUUUACAGUUAUGUGUUAUCCAAUGUUAAUAAAUUGUACUGUACUACACUAUGUACGAUAUAUACCCUCUAAAAUAUGUUUACAAACAAUAUUAAGUAGUGUUAUGUUAUACGAUAACUCUCAUGAAAUAUGCCUCACAUGGAUACUUUUCUUUUGUAUUUGAGUCUUGGGUAAUUUUUAACGAUACGUGUCAAUUAGCUUUUUGUAAAAUUUGAUUUUAAUUAAAGACACGGCAAUACUUCAAGCCGGCCCACAUUCUAGCGCUGAACGAAGCGCAGGUCCGGCCACACAUGGAGUAUUGCUGUCAUCUCUGGUCUGGCGCACCCCAGUAUCAGCUCGAUCCAAUUGACCGCGUGCAACGCAGGGCAGCUCGAAUUGUCGGGGACCCAGUGCUCUGUGAACGGCUGGAUCACUAGGCGUUGCGCAGAGCCGUCGUUUCAUUGUGUGUCUUCUACCGCAUUUAUCACGUGGAAUGUUCCGAAGAGCUAUUUAACCUGAUUAACCUGAAUGAUGCAGUAGAUUGUGGGCGGCGGUGAUCACUUAACAACAGGUGACCCGUACGCUCGUUUUUCCUGCUAUUCCAUGAUAAAAAAAGACAAACCAGUUGAUUCUUCUAUUCGGCGACAACAUUAAAACAAACGACUUCAUAUUCGUAAAAAAUAUAUAUUUUUUUGCAAUAGUAUAUACUUUUAAAAGGGGUUUCAACAGAUAUAGAUAUUAAAACGGCCGCUUGUGUUAUUUCACAGAGAACACAACGCAUAUAGUUCUGUCUUUUAAAUAAUUGACACGUAUUUAAUACCAUUACUUUCGAUUACUUUUUUUUGUAAGAAGUUCUCAUAAGUUUAAUGAAGUUUUGCUUAUCAUUUAUUACCAUCUUGCUAUAGAGCCGUGUAUCACACUAGUGCGAUACACUGUUCUUAGUAUUUCCAAAAUAUGUAAGGUGGAGGAAUUUUGGGCUGACCAUUUGAUGCGUGUGGAGCGCGCAUCAAGUAGAGCCAGGUAGGAGGUCUGUAAUUAUCGAUACGAUUCAAGCAUUAUUAUAGAUUUUAUAUUUAUGUGUGAUGAUCUUAACCCAGACUUUAAUCAUUAUUUUAAAUAUUUGUAAGUACUUAUUGUUAACCCAACAACAAUCUUAAGAUAUAAUAUUAUGUGACUGUAUGUAAAAUACCUGCACGAAGUUGUUAUAAGUCAGUUAAAGGUAUAUAUAUUAUUUAAAUGGACGUAAUUUUUAUCGUAUUAAAUUACACGGGGAAACUUAUAUUGAAAUAAGUUUCAAAGUGGUUAUAUUAAAAAGACAAUAUCAGUUUUAUGUUUGGCAAUUUUUGAUACGAUGGCAGACACUGUGGCACCUUUAUGUGAAAUAGUCAAUAGAUGAUAUAAAAUUAAAAUGUUCUUAUUGAUACACAUACAAAAAAUAUAUUCUUCAGUAUAUAAAAUAAAAUCUAAAAGUACGGCAUAUAGAGUAUUAUCGGACUGAAUAAAAUUAUCUUGUAGACGGUUGUUAAGUAAAUUAAACAUAUAUAGUUAAUAUUCGCAAGAAGUUAAAAUAAAUGUUUUGAAAAAUGCAAAAAUAGAAGAAUAAUUUUCAAAAGACAAAAAUUGAAGAAGGAUUUCUAUAGUAAUAAGGCAGAAUAGAUGAAACAUAAUAUUAUUAAUAUCCAAUUUAAAACUAAGAAUUAAACAAAAGUAACAAUUAGAAAGAAUGCUGAAAAAAUAGAAUUUCACUUGCACAUAGAGAUACAAAUGCUAGAUACAGCAAUAAACAAAAUCUAGUUUCAAUCAAGGCAAGGGACGCUCAAUGUAAUAAUAUGCCUGGAUCUCAACGAACAGUCGGGUAAAAGCAAUGUGAGCAAAAAUAUAAACUUUUCAUCUAGAUAUGUUAUUUUUUUAAUAUGCGUUUUGUUUGAAAGAAUGUCGCAUUGACCUGUAAAUGCCUCUUCACGAUGAUUUUUAUGGCAUACAAUUUUUGCGUGAAAUUGGAUAGGAGUUUGUCUCUUUUAGUAACGUGAAAGAUUAAAAUCCUGACUGUACGGUGAGCUCCAUCCAUAUUAUUGAAUCUUGAGCUCCCUUUCCAUGUUUGGAACUAGAUCUUGUUGAUUGCUAUAUCUAGCCUACGUUUAUCUAGGUACUUGUUGAAUUCUUCUGUUUCUGUUUUUGUGUUUUUUAUUUUUGUUAUUCUUUAUUGGAACUGGAUAGAAAGGCUAUUCUGCUUCAUCUAUUCUAUCAUUGUACACGAGAAACCAAUUUUUUAAUUAUUUUUCUGUACCAUUUAUUCUACGUCAUUUACAAUUUUCAAAUAUUUUCAUAUACUCCUUUUCCAAAAAUACUUUUUCUUUAAUUUUCUUAUAAUACUACUACUACUUUGUAUAUUUUAUUUGAUUUUUAACAAUAUUUAAUAAUUUAUGAUUUAUUUUAAUUUUGAAUAAUAUAUUAAAGGUACGUUUUUCUAUUUAUAAUAAAAUCGUUCAUUUGUGUCUAAUAUCGUAUUUUUUCCCAUAAGUUUUACAAACUUUGCCAUCAACUAAACAAUUACCAAUCAUCACGAAUACUUCUAGGUUUUGAAAUUUUAGCACUUCUAAUAGUUUUAGUUUAUAUUUUUCUAAAUAUCUAAAUUCGAUCAAGCUAUUCCCUUGUCAAUAAUAAGAUAAUCAUAUCUUAUAUAUAAAAACUAUGUAUUUAGUUAUUAUGUACAGUGACAGAAGGUAUCUUAAGUUUAUUGUUGGAAUAAUAAUAUGUACAAAUGAAUGAUGUCGUGAGGCUUAAAAUAAUGAUGCACCAAGGUAUAAAACUAUAAAAUUGUUUGGAUCAUGUCAAAUAUUUGAGAGCUCCAACCCCGCACCACAAAGUGGGCCCCAGGCAGCGAAUGGGCUACCUUUUAAAUCUCUCCACCUCCCUGCCUACGGGCUCCCAGCUAUGCAGUGCACUGAGGUUGAAAUUCAUAGUAUUGACUAUGCUUGCUUGUCAGUUUGCGAGUCCGCUGCUGCUUGCUUGUGGUACUUUGCUAUGUAGCUCACCCUUGGAGUAAUGCGUGAGCGUGACCUUGUCGGGGUGGGAGGGCUUAUGCUCAGGUCUUCCAGCUGACUCCAGCGGAUACUCUGGGCAACUAACGAGGAGCUCAACCCAAGCUAAAGUAUAAAAUAUCGUGCUGAUGGCUGAAUGGCACUGGGGUUGGAAUACGGUGUCAUGAACGAUCUCCUUGAGGCGCCUGCGGGCACCCCAUGGUAAUUAAACUCCAGGCAUUCGAGAUUGCCGGGGGUUAAUGAUAAUGCAAUCAGUAUUAAAUAUGACAACACGUUAUGGGGUCUAUUACGUAGCGCCUGUUGUAAUCAUUAUACUGGUAAUAAAAAUAAUAAUAAUACAAUAUAGUGCUAAUAUUAAAUUUAUAUUAUUUUUAUUCUAAUUAAAUUUGAUUUAUUUUAUAUGUUUUUCAGAAAAAAAAACUUAAGGAUGUUUUUUUCUUAUCAUAUGUGAAUCAUUCCCGCUUAUAUAUUUUAUUUUCUGUGACAUUAAGCUCUCCAAUGAUUAAUGGUAUUUGUAAUCUGACCACCUAUAUAAUAUGAUAAUUAUGAUAAAGUUGUGAUGUGUACUUAUGAACCUAUAAGCAUUUUUCAAUUGUAAAGUCAUAUCAGUCAGUCAAUCAUAAGGAAUGCGGAAUGUGUCAUUAAAUUUAUAUUUUUCUGUACAAGUACCGGUAUUAUAUAUAAUGAUAAUAACUUUAUUGAAUAUGUUGUGUUUAUGUUUCAUGUAAUCUAUGUGUUUUUAAUAAUUUCAAAAGAUUGACGAAUCAAAUAUUAUUGUCAUAGCUAUAAGUAACUCGAAAAAUAAAAUGCUUGAAUAUAAAAA